rnacentral:tRNA from 1 species
GCAUAGUUGGUUCAGUAGUAGAAUUCUUGCCUUCCACAUGGGAGACCCAGGUUUAAUUCCUGGCCAGUGCA